rnacentral:rRNA from 1 species
GCAAGUCGAGCGAGAAAGCACUUCGGCGUCGAGCGGCGGACGGGUGAGUAAUACUUGGGAAUAUGCCUUUAGGUGGGGGACAACAGUUGGAAACGACUGCUAAUACCGCAUAAUGUCUACGGACCAAAGAGGGGGACCUUCGGGCCUCUUGCCUUUAGAUUAGCCCAAGUGAGAUUAGCUAGAUGGUAAGGUAAUGGCUUACCAUGGCGACGAUCUCUAGCUGGUUUGAGAGGAUGAUC